UUUACGGGGUAGAAUAGGAAGGACUGUUGCUUUGCAUAGAGCAAUGGCAGUAUGCAAUGCUCUAGGAAGGCCAACAGUCACCACAAGAAAGCAGAAAUUUUAAGGAAGUGAGAAGAGGGAGAAUGCGGCUGGUAUUACACUGUGGAGGGAGUAGAGGCAGGAGCAUAGCUGAGGGCAUAAGGAGAGGUGGGCACUUGUUCCAGUUAGCAACCCAGCUUAACAGUCCAUUAGAGACAUGCUAUUGUCGAGAUGAGGAUUCAGAUGGAUCUGAAUGGAGUCUUGUGACCACUAUAGUGACCAAUAGUGAAGCCAGGAGAUAGAUCAUCGACCAGAUGACUGCCUGUGUCCCCUGCUAGACAAGAGGAGGGGGUUCAUGGAGCCAGAAUCAGCUUCAUUCAGAUCAGUGAAAAACAGAUUUUGAUUCCCAGUGAUGUCACAGGACAUUUAUCCUCCUAAAGAUUCUUCUGCUUGUUUUAUGUGUAGGUAAUGUGUCUCUUCUCAUCUCUUCUCUUUUCCUUUUUUUUUUUUUUUUGCAGUAGUAAGGAUUGCACCUAGGACCUCAUGCAUGCUGGACAAACAGUCUACUACUGAGCUAUAGCCCUAGCCCUAAGUAACCCCUGAGCAAACUGAGCACCUUCUGCUCCCUGGGUCAGUUGUCUGACGGUCAGAGCACAGUGAACAAAAGAGACUGAGUUGACUUUGACUCUGAGGGUUCAUAGCAUCAUACUGCUCAGAUGGUUUUUGGAGUCCCUGCUGAUUCAUUUUUCACUUGGUUUGUAAUUCCAAGUCUCUGUCCAAGCUCUCUGAGCAGUGGUUACACCCGCCUUUGAGAGUCUCUCUGUCAGCAACAUCAUGUGGUUACCUGGAAAUUGGUCCUGGUGGGAGUAUUUACACCACAGAACUUGGCAUAUACCAAAUCUCACAGCUCCCAAAAUGGUGUGGAAUGGGGGACUUCUGGUUAAACAUUUACCUGCCUCUAAAGAGAAACCCCCAGCAACUGCCUUAUUAAACAUUAUUUUCCUGUCCCUUAAAA